rnacentral:lncRNA from 1 species
AGAGACAAAACAUAACUGAAGGCAAAAAAGCGUUUUGAACAAAAGAAGAAAGGGAAUAGAGAGGUUUGCUUCAGUCACACCCAAUCGUUAACCCUUUUCUCCUUUAAACCAAACCGAUCAACUUUGUUUCUUGAUCAAAAGCAUUAUUCCUCUAACACAAACGAAAAGCCACUUGCAUCCACCAAUCCUUUGAAAAAAAAGUGUAUGACCAGGACAGUCAAAC